UACGUAGGGUGCGAGCGUUAAUCGGAUUUACUGGGCGUAAAGCGUGCGCAGGCGGCCCGUUAAGACAGGUGUGAAAUCCCUGGGCUCAACCUAGGAAUUGCGCUUGUGACUGGCGGGCUCGAGUACGAUAGAGGGGGGUGGAAUUCCUGGUGUAGCAGUGAAAUGCGUAGAGAUCAGGAGGAACACCGAUGGCGAAGGCAGCCCCCUGGGCCUGUACUGACGCUCAUGCACGAAAGCGUGGGGAGCAAACAGG
rnacentral:rRNA from 1 species